rnacentral:rRNA from 1 species
UACGUAGGGUGCGAGCGUUGUCCGGAAUUAUUGGGCGUAAAGAGCUCGUAGGCGGUCUGUCGCGUCGAUCGUGAAAACUUGGGGCUUAACCCUGAGCUUGCGGUCGAUACGGGCAUGACUGGAGUUCGGCAGGGGAGACUGGAAUUCCAGGUGUAGCGGUGAAAUGCGUAGAUAUCUGGAGGAACACCGGUGGCGAAGGCGGCAUCCUGGACCGGCAUUGACGCUGAGGAGCGAAAGCUAGGGGAGCAAACGGG